rnacentral:rRNA from 1 species
AUACGUAGGGGGCGAGCGUUCUCCGGAAUGACUGGGCGUAAAGGGCGUGUAGGCGGCGGUGUAAGUCUGGAGUGAGAGUCCCGCAUUCAAUGUGGGAAUUGCUUUGGAUACUGCAGUGCUAGAGUGCGGAAGAGGUAAGUGGAAUUCCCAGUGUAGCGGUGAAAUGCGUAGAGAUUGGGAGGAACACCAGUGGCGAAGGCGACUUACUGGGCCGUAACUGACGCUGAGGCGCGAAAGCGUGGGGAGCGAACAGGAUUAGAUACCCUGGUAGUCCACGCGGUAAACGAUGAAUGCUAGGUGUUGCGGGUAUCGACCCCUGCAGUGCCGGAGUAAACACAAUAAGCAUUCCGCCUGGGGAGUACGGCCGCAAGGUUGAAACUCAAAUGAAUUGACGGGG